ACCUCAAUUCAUAUGGAUUGGGUAGAACCGAAAGCCCUUCGUUAAGAAUGAUUGAGAUAACUCUGAUAGGGGCCGUGAGGUAAUCCCGCAGUGCAGGUGAGCGACCGGCGCCUAGCGUUCUGUGGCCGCCGCCCUUCUGCCGUCCGACCGGACCAGGUCGCCGACGUCGCCCCUAUCCCGCACGCGUCAUCGCAGCGCCUCCGAGUCUCCGCCAAGAUCUGCCUCGGCCACGGCGCGGCGCCGCUGGAGCUGCAGCCGUCCAGCCGACUGCCUUCCGCCGACCACCGACCACCGACCACUGGCCGAGCCGCCGCAGCUAGCUGCGCUUUGAAGCAUGGGUCGUUUUGAACAAGUUACUCCAGAAGGCCCUGAAACUAAUCAGCAUGAUGAGCAGCGCUCCAUACGUUUACAUGCAUUUUCUGAUCUAUCACACGUCCCUGCAGCCACUUUUAUUUAUCUCUUAAAGGACUGCUAUGGAUAUGGUACGAACAAAGCAACCUCAAAGUUUAAGAUCCUCAUGCAGCUGGUAAAAGUGGCAUUGCAUAAUGGUCCACAGCCAGGCCCGUUCACAUAUGUUGUCCAGUGUAUGUAUAUUGUACCUCUGCUGGGGAAAACUUAUUCUGAAGGGUUCAGCCAUAUGUUGACAUCCUCUUUAAAGCACUUGAAAUCUGUGGAAUCAGCACAGAAAGAUUUCUUGGAGGCAAAGCACCUUGCCGCACAACUUGUUCUUGAUAUCCUUGAUUCUAUUGUACCCCAUGAGAACCGCAUAUUGGUCAAGCUUCUUGAGACAUUUGAAAUUGAGUUGAGAGACAUGGCCCGUGCUUUGUAUGAUUCAGAGUUGGACGAUGGUGAUCUAAUGAAAGCACGUGAACAUCUCAGACAGCAAGUUAAGCGCUGUAUGGAAUCAGAAUCCAAUGCACUUGCUGUGACUCUAAUAACACAUUUUUCCAUCCAAUGCUGUGAUGAGUCCUUCAUCAUAAAAUUGAUUAAAAACAAUCAAUUAGAGAUUGCAGAGCAGUGUGCUAUUUUCAUGGGCAAGGAAAUGAUAUCGCUAGUCGUUCAAAAGUAUCUAGAUAUGAAAAUGCUGAAGAGUGCAAACAAAUUGGUCAAAGAACAUGAACUCACAGAAGAGUUUCCAGAUGUUAGCUAUUUGUAUAAAGAGAGUUCAGUAAAGAAGUUGGCUGAGAAAGGAUGCUGGGAUAUUGCAGAAACUAGGGCCAAGAAGGACACAAAACUCCUGGAAUACCUGGUAUAUUUAGCAAUGGAAGCUGGUUAUAUGGAGAAGGUUGACGAGCUUUGCAAGCGAUACUCUAUUGAAGGUUAUGUUGAUUCUUUGGUUCCGGAGAAGGUUUUCUGUGUAUCUGACUACUUAGAUCUGAAGAAAUUGGAUGUGGAAGAAAUUGUCUGGGUUGAUGAGAUCAAUGGGCUGCUUAAUGCAACAAGUGAUAUUGAAGCUUGUAAAAUUAUUGGCAUGGAUUGUGAGUGGAGACCUAAUUUCGAGAAAAAUACUAAAUCUAGUAAGGUCUCAAUCAUACAAAUUGCAUCAGAUAAGAUAGCCUUCAUUUUUGAUCUGAUUAAACUGUAUGAAGAUGACCCAAAAGCAUUGGACAGUUGCUUGAGGCGUGUUAUGUGUUCAUCUAAGAUACUAAAGCUGGGCUAUGACAUUCAGUGUGAUCUUCAUCAACUAACGCGAUCAUACGGAGAAUUGGAAUGUUUUCAGUCCUAUGAAAUGGUACUUGAUAUGCAGAAGCUUUUCAAAGGCGUUACUGGUGGCCUCUCUGGAUUGUCAAAGGUAGAGUGUAUGACAUGUUCAUGAAAUGCUGCCAGGAAAUAUUAGGAGCUGGUUUGAACAAGACCCGGCGAAAUAGCAACUGGGAGCAACGGCCACUAACCCAAAAUCAGAAAGAGUACGCUGCUCUUGAUGCCGUGGUCCUUGUGCAUAUAUUCCAUGAACACAUGCGGAGGCAAGCACAGUUCGGUGUCUCUGAGGGAAGCAGAGUCGAGUGGAGGUCUCACGUUGUUUCCCGAGUGAGUUGCACGCGUACGCCCUUGCGUUUCUAGUGGUGGGGUUGGACAGCUUGGAGUGAAAUUACUUCUAGCAUCUGCAUGUGCCGUCUUCUAACAUCUAUGAUGACAGUUCUCUGGCAUGGCAUCAUAGGCUCACAGUUCAUCCCCAGAAGUUAGUGCUGCGACUUCGUUGCUCUUGCCUUGUGUAUAUACAGUAUAUUGUUACCUCCACCGGAGUUUUUCCUUUCCUGCUGUAUCGCAUUCAGUGCUGAGUGCAUUAUUAGAUUUGGAACCCGUUUUCUGUUAUGAAUUAGUGAUAAUGGAAGUCAGGAAGUGUCGCGUUAUGAAUUAGUGCAGGGGGCAAGAAAGCCAGAGGAUUAUUUCCGUAUUAUGUAUGGGACGUGAACUUAGCUUAAUAGAUAGAUUGGGGUUGGAGAUGUAGAUGUAGAUGAAUAUCCUAACAA